UUGACAUUGAUCAUAGGAACAUCAUGGUUUUAGUUUUACAAGAUUGGGUGUAGAACAAAUUCAGAACUAUUUUGAAACAAUUUUAAUACUGCCGUUAUGGCCAAACGAAUAAGGUAUCAUCCGAGUGCUGGUGUUCGUCAAUUGCGCCGGAUUCGGGACACCACCUGUAUAAUGUAUGGUAUACAUCUAUUGCGUCGGUAUCAAAAAGGUAUACAUCAAUUGACCAGGAGCAUUUGACAAUGACACAAACUGUCUUGGUUAGUUUUAAUUUUUAUAAUAAUUAUAUUAUUUUAUUAUAUUAAUUAAAUAUUAAUUUAUAUUAACUA